rnacentral:rRNA from 1 species
UUAGAGUUUGAUCCUGGCUCAGAGUGAACGCUGGCGGUAGGCCUAACACAUGCAAGUCGAACGGCAGCACAGGAGAGCUUGCUCUCUGGGUGGCGAGUGGCGGACGGGUGAGGAAUACAUCGGAAUCUACCUUUUCGUGGGGGAUAACGUAGGGAAACUUACGCUAAUACCGCAUACGACCUACGGGUGAAAGUGGGGGACCGCAAGGCCUCACGCGAUUAGAUGAGCCGAUGUCCGAUUAGCUAGUUGGCGGGGUAAUGGCCCACCAAGGCGACGAUCGGUAGCUGGUCUGAGAGGAUGAUCAGCCACACUGGAACUGAGACACGGUCCAGACUCCUACGGGAGGCAGCAGUGGGGAAUAUUGGACAAUGGGCGCAAGCCUGAUCCAGCCAUACCGCGUGGGUGAAGAAGGCCUUCGGGUUGUAAAGCCCUUUUGUUGGGAAAGAAAUCCUAUCGGUUAAUAAGCCGGUGGGGAUGACGUACCCAAAGAAUAAGCACCGGCAAUUUCG